rnacentral:rRNA from 1 species
UACAGAGGUGGCAAGCGUUGCUCGGUAUCACUGGGCUUAAAGGGCGCGUAGGCGGUGCGGUACGGUUUCGGUGAAACUCCCUCCGGCCGAACCGCAGGAACACCGGAGCUACGGCCGGACUAGGACGGCAGUACUCGAGGGGACGAGUGGAACGUCCCGGUAGGAGCGGUGAAAUGCGUAGAGUAGUCGGGACGGAAGCGCCAGG